GACGAAAGGAGCUAGCUCACCAUAAAGGAGUCUCUCUGGUGUAUCGGCACCUAUGAAUCAUGGUGUCAGUGCCUAAGGUGCGUAAUCAUGCCGAUGGUGCAAGAAUGCGUGUGCUGCCAGGAUUACACCGAGGUGCAACAAAAGCAACCAAAAGGAUGCAUAACGUAACACAACUACUUCGGCGUAUUAUGCUUAGACACGGAAGUGCUUUCUGUGGCAUUCUGCGAGCCACUCGACAAGAAUGCAUCAAUGCCACUGGAGAAACAAUACAAAAGGUUUUGCUUUGCUGCUUAUAGGCAGUUUACACUUUGGAUCUGGGGAUAUUGGAACAAGAUAACCGAAAAAUCCUCCCAGGCUGUGCUGUCACACGCAUUAGACAGGCAUUUCCUUCUACGUCCUACACGGGCUUCAAAAGUUGGAAUUCCUCAGUCUACAUUAUUUGCAAAAUAAUAAAUAAAAACUGUAUCAAGAUAAACA